rnacentral:lncRNA from 10 species
CGACUUUCCACAUGAAAGCCAAUGAGGCCGCUUCCCACUUAAAAAACGUUUGUUUAAAACGUAUUUUCUAAGCAUUCCUUAGACUCCCUUUUAUUUUGGAGGGGGAAUUUGGUAUCUUUGAAAAACCUUAAGUAUUCAAAAAUCUCAUUCUCUCUGAAGACAACUUCUUAGAUGAACAAGUACGGGAAACAGUUAACAGCAGAGGGUCCCUCCCCUGCUGCUCGCAGACGCUCGCAGGUCCAGGCGCUCAGUAGCACUGGAGUGUAAUGGAGCUGACAGAGAGAGAUGCUGCAAUAAGGGAUGGACAGCAGAUGCUGUGGCAGAGUCUGCCAGGGACUCCCAACCAGAGAAAAGGAAAAGGAAGCCUGUUCCACGGAGAAGGAUGAUCCUGUACACAGGUCUGGAGGUGAAAGAGGGCAGGGAGUAUGCAUGACUGGACUCCAGAGAUUUUGGAUUUCAGAAUUUUCAGUGAGGGAUUGUGGACCUGUGUUCUCUCUACCCACCACACAGGUCUCUUUGUUUUUGCAUUGGCACUUUCCUCUCUCUGGAACUCUCUUUCCCCCAAAUAUAGCCUCAUGGCUUGCUCCCUCCUCUCCUUCAGACAUGGCCUUCCCUUGCCACCUUUUUACAAUGCCAACCUCCUCUUCCUAUCCCCAACAACAAUUUAAUUUUCUCUAUUUCACUUAAUGCAAUUGGAUAUAAUAUUUUUACUGCCUUAUUUAUUAUGUGUCUCUCCUUAUUGACAUAUGAACAUCAUGAGGGUAGGGAUUUUUGUCUGUUAUGUUCACUGUUAUGUAUCUUCAGCCUGACCUAUUAGGUGCUUGUUAAACAUAUGUUAAAUUAGUGAAUUACUGAGCACGUACUAUGUGCUGCUAAAUAUUAUGUAAGUCUUUCACCUGCUUUAUAUCUUUAUAUCAUUUAAUCAUCAAGGACCCUAUGAGGUAGAGGCUGUUAUCAACCCCAUUUUCUAGAUAAGGAAACUGUCACCGAGAAAUUAAGCCCAAAACCUCAAUUACUAUACCGAUCAAUGUUGUAAUGAGAACUUCCUCACUGAAUCUGUUGCAUUCUUGAAAAGGUAUCAAAUCAAGUCUAACUCUAGCUAUAAGAAGAGAAUUGAGGUUUUUUGCUCAUCUUACCUAAUCUUUUGCCUUGAUUCAAAUCUAGCAUUACAUCUGGAAGGGACUAUGAUACAGUAUAAGGGAUAAGCAAUUUCUGUGUAUGUAACAUAUUAUUCUAUUACAUUAGGAAACUAAUAAGCUGAGUGAAGUACCAUUUCCCUCUCAGUUUUCUGGGGAAAUGAGCAUUAUAAGAUACACU